rnacentral:piRNA from 1 species
UGGAUGUCAUUUCAGGUAUGCAGGAC